rnacentral:rRNA from 1 species
CCUACGGGAGGCAGCAGGGAGGAAUAUUGGUCAAUGGGCGGGAGACGGAACCAGCCAAGCAGCGUGAGGGAGGAAGGUACAGUGGGUUGUAAACCUCUUUUGUAAGGGAACAAAGUCCGGUACGUAUACCCCUUUGCAUGUACCUUACGAAUAAGCAUCGGCUAACUCCGUGCCAGCAGCCGCGGUAAUACGGAGGAUCCGAGCGUUAUCCGGAUUUAUUGGGUUUAAAGGGUGCGGAGGCGGGUUGGUAAGUCAGGUGGUAAAGGCUGGGGCUCAACCCCGAAACUGCCGUUGAAACUGGCAGCCUUGAGUAGAGUAGAGGUAGGCGGAAUGCGCGGUGUAGCGGUGAAAUGCAUAGAUAUCACGCAGAACUCCGAUUGCGAAGGCAGCAUGCCGG